rnacentral:rRNA from 1 species
GAUGAACGCUGGCGGCGUGCCCAAUACAUGCAAGUCGAGCGAAUGGAUUAAGAGCUUGCUCUUAUGAAGUUAGCGGCGGACGGGUGAGUAACACGUGGGUAACCUGCCCAUAAGACUGGGAUAACUCCGGGAAACCGGGGCUAAUACCGGAUAACAUUUUGAACCGCAUGGUUCGAAAUUGAAAGGCGGCUUCGGCUGUCACUUAUGGAUGGACCCGCGUCGCAUUAGCUAGUUGGGGAGGUAACGGCUCACCAAGGCAACGAUGCGUAGCCGACCUGAGAGGGUGAUCGGCCACACUGGGACUGAGACACGGCCCAGACUCCUACGGGAGGCAGCAGUAGGGAAUCUUCCGCAAUGGACGAAAGUCUGACGGAGCAACGCCGCGUGAGUGAUGAAGGCUUUCGGGUCGUAAAACUCUGUUGUUAGGGAAGAACAAGUGCUAGUUGAAUAAGCUGGCACCUUGACGGUACCUAACCAGAAAGCCACGGCUAACUACGUGCCAGCCGCCGCUGUAA